rnacentral:misc_RNA from 1 species
CCGAGUUAUACAACUCCUCAACCCUGUGAACAUACCUAACUGUUGCUGUCGGCUGGAUUGCCCGGCGCCUCGUGCCCCGUAUACACGGGCGCCCGCCAUAGGAAACUUAACUCUUGUUUUAUAUUGGAAUCUUCUGAGUAAGUUUUAAGCAAAUAAAUAA